rnacentral:tRNA from 2 species
ACUUGAAUAGCUUAAUUUGAAGCGUGAUAUUGAAGAUAUCAAGAUAGGCGUAGCCUUUUAAGUG